AGUGAACGCUGGCGGUAGGCCUAACACAUGCAAGUCGAACGGCAGCACAGUAAGAGCUUGCUCUUACGGGUGGCGAGUGGCGGACGGGUGAGGAAUACAUCGGAAUCUACUUUUUCGUGGGGGAUAACGUAGGGAAACUUACGCUAAUACCGCAUACGACCUACGGGUGAAAGCAGGGGAUCUUCGGACCUUGCGCGAUUGAAUGCGCCGAUGUCGGAUUAGCUAGUUGGCGGGGUAAAGGCCCACCAAGGCGACGAUCCGUAGCUGGUCUGAGAGGAUGAUCAGCCACACUGGAACGGAGACACGGUCCAGACUCCUACGGGAGGCAGCAGUGGGGAAUAUUGGACAAUGGGCGCAAGCCUGAUCCAGCCAUACCGCGUGGGUGAAGAAGGCCUUCGGGUUGUAAAGCCCUCUUGUUGGGAAAGAAAAGCAGCAGGUUAAUACCCCGCUGUUCUGACGGUACCCAAAGAAUAAGCACCGGCUAACUUCGUG
rnacentral:rRNA from 1 species